CUCCCCUGCAAUCCCCUCCAGAGUCUCCAGUGUAUCUUUUAAAUAUUUUCAUUGGUAGAUGUUCUUUGCCUUUUGAGAAAUGCAUUUGAUUUUUAUAAAUAGUCAAAUUCAAUUUGAGCCAGUGAUCAUUUGUAUAAUAUUAUUUAAAAAAAAAGAGAAACCAGGAGUGACUAUCAAGUAAUCUGACUGGUUUUUCUUGUUCUGUUCAUCAACUGGCUUCAUAGGCAAUUUCAAAUGAAGUAUCCAAGACUCAUUUUGUUAGCAGCAUCAUUAGGAUAAAAGCAUCUUCUACAAAGCUGACUUUGAAAAAACUUCUUAUUUGUCUGUACCUAUACUGCUAUGAGGAGCCUUUACCAUGUGGGUGCUGAAGCUGUUUCUACACCCAAGCUCAGAGCUUGGUUUUCCAUCUUAGAGAGAGUCCACAGCAUUGUAGAACAAGCCAUCAUGCACAGAAUGGUAGUGAGUACUCUUUUCCCAGAAUUCCAUAGAAUUCUUUGGGGAGUAUUUAUCUUUAAUAAUGGUAACAUUGAUAUUGAUAAUGAUGAUGGUAGUAGUGAUAAUGUUGGUAAAUGAUAAUGAUGGUAAAUGAGAGUUGAUAAUAAUGAUGGCAGUGAUGAUCAUGAUAAAACACAAUCUUUUAUGUCUUCUCUUGCAUCCUAAGUUUCUUCAUCCUACCUUUGAUUUGAAAUCUCUUUACCAAACUGGUUAUUGCUUUUUGGAUACAAACCGCUUUCUUCAACUGGUUUUGAUAAGUAUUAUCUCCACCCUGGUCACUCUCUCUUAUAUACUCUGCUAUUGGUCAAGAUCCUUGCUCAGAGCCAUCACCUCAAAGAGCUCUGCCACCUUUCAAGAGUGUGAGGUUAAAGGGAAUCUGAAGAACUAAUGAAAGGAAGAGACGCAACUCAAAAAAGCAAACCCCAUAAAUGAUGAAUGAUGCUGAUCCAUUGAUGGAAAGCAGCAAAAGAACCAGAAAAGGGAAACCUAAGGUACAGAUUCCAUUUUAAAUGUCUGCCCAGUGCUUUUAAAAUAUAUUAAACUAAAUAGGAAAUAUGCCGUUCUUUUACACAGAGAAUUCAGAUUAGACAUGUGGUAACAGUAUCAUGCCUUACUAAGUGUUUGUUAUUUGCUUGCUAAAAAUUAAGAAGCAACUGCAACUAAGGGUAUAUGGUAUGGACUGUGACAGUUUUCUUUGUGAAAAAUAUUCCCUGUAAAGAUUAAAAUCUAUAAGGAAAGAGUUGAGUCCUGG
rnacentral:lncRNA from 1 species